rnacentral:misc_RNA from 1 species
AAAGUCGUAACAAGGUUUCCGUAGGUGAACCUGCGGAAGGAUCAUUAAAAAGUACCGAGUGGCUUCGCGCCACGGGUUAAUGCACCGAUGCCCCAUGGGCAUGUGACGUGUAAAACUACUUGUUGAAACACCUUAUUUAUGCUUCGGUUGCACCUUCCGUCUAACCGCGGUUGGGUAAGUCGGCCAGAGGCAAACUUUUAAAACUAGUUGAUGAAAUGUCAUGCUGUCUGAUACUGUUUAGUAUUUGAGAAAUCGAAUAUUUGUUAAAACUUUCAGCAACGGAUCUCUUGGUUCUC